rnacentral:lncRNA from 1 species
CCAAAUCUGUCAGAAAGCCGGAAAGGACCUCGUGAGCCAACCACCGCUAAACUAGAACCUGGAGGGGCGCAAAACAAAAUGAGUGGGUCAGUAAAACAAAUUAGUUUUCCAAAACAUUUCAUUAAAACAGUUAUAUCCCCUCGCCGUAAAAACCUGUAUACUUUCCCAGAAAUAUAUAACCAUAUAAAAUCUCAACAUUUAAAUCUCAAAUCUUUAACAUUUUCAAGAAAACAUGCCAUGACAUAAAUCAAAAUAUAAAUCAGGUGAAAUAAGGAAUCAAUCGGAGACCCUGCAGUUGGUCCUAUACGAUUAAUUCAAUAGCUCAAAUCCCACUAAGCCGGAGUCACCCCAGUGACCUGUACGACCCUACUCUGCACAUCACUCGGAACUACGUAAGGUAGUCUAUACGAUGAAAGGUGUAAAAAUACGCUCUAGUGCUUCUCUCAUCAUAUCAUCAGCGCGCAUAACUAAGGUCACCCACUAGUCGGAAUCACGCCUAGUGAUCUGUAUGACUAGCAUGUCGGAACCCUCACAUGGUCUGUACGACAUCCACCUACUUGGAUCCAAGGCGAGCGUGCGGUGUGGUGAAUAAUAUAAGCACUAACACCUAGGGUGCAGAUUACGAGCUCAAAUUAUAUCGAUAUCAACCAAUUAAAUGCAUAAAUGAACUCACCUGACUUACCUUUGCCUCCACAGCACCAUGCAAUAAGUAUGCAUCAUAUAUCAAUCACAUAAUUCAUAAACCAAUUCAUGAUUUUCAAAUAGUUCUAGGCAUGGCAUGUUCAAAACAUAUUUUCAUAUAAAAACAUUUUUCUGGGAAAAACAGUAGUAUAUAGGUAAUACGAAAACAAAACUGCCCACUCACUGAUAAGUCGACAGGUCGUAACCCCCGUGGCGUCCCUGGAUGCGGUCGUCCUCGGGAUACGUCUCACCUAUAUGCGAAACAACUAUAAAAACAUUAAUUUUAAGCAUAUCACCAAUAAUUCGAAAUAACUUCUCAUACGAUGCUCAAUUUUGGUAUAUGAAUAUACCACAUCGACCUACUCGACGUCACGAGCGUCGAGAAAUUUUCAGAAAAAUUUUUGGAAGCCCCACGCGCCACACGUGGCACGGGUCCAUGCGCUGGCCACGCGCAGCACGUGCAGCGCACGUGUCGUCUUCUUCGUAGGGCCUCGCCGGACUGGUUCUCCGGUGGCCGGACUCCGGCCGAACUCCGGCCGAUUUUCAAACUCACUGUUCUCCUUCGUUUUUCACCCAUUUUCUUCGUAUUUUAUACCAAAUUGAAGCCCUAAGAGUGUACUAUCACGUUGGACUAGUUUUAUGGCCUAAAAACUACGAAAUCUCACCUUGCAAAAACCAAAGAUUCGGCCAAACUUGAAACCUACGAUCCCGACGUCCAAAACUCUCCAACGAACGUCCCCGAGCUUCCUUAGGACCUCCUAAAGCUCACCACAAGCUUGAAAUCUCCUGAAACACAACAUUUUACGCUCGCAUGAACAGUACCUCAAAAAUGGAGGUUCGGGAUCUACGUGAAAUCGAAGGUUUCACUUCCUAAAACUAG